GGAAUAUUGGACAAUGGGGGCAACCCUGAUCCAGCCAUGCCGCGUGUGUGAAGAAGGCCUUUUGGUUGUAAAGCACUUUAAGCAGGGAGGAGAGGCUAAUGGUUAAUACCCAUUAGAUUAGACGUUACCUGCAGAAUAAGCACCGGCUAACUCUGUGCCAGCAGCCGCGGUAAUACAGAGGGUGCGAGCGUUAAUCGGAAUUACUGGGCGUAAAGCGAGUGUAGGUGGCUCAUUAAGUCACAUGUGAAAUCCCCGGGCUUAACCUGGGAACUGCAUGUGAUACUGGUGGUGCUAGAAUAUGUGAGAGGGAAGUAGAAUUCCAGGUGUAGCGGUGAAAUGCGUAGAGAUCUGGAGGAAUACCGAUGGCGAAGGCAGCUUCCUGGCAUAAUAUUGACACUGAGAUUCGAAAGCGUGGGUAGCAAACAGGAUUAGAUACCCUGGUAGUCCACGCCGUAAACGAUGUCUACUAGCCGUUGGGGUCCUUGAGACUUUAGUGGCGCAGUUAACGCGAUAAGUAGACCGCCUGGGGAGUACGGCCGCAAGGUUAAAACUCAAAUGAAUUGACGG
rnacentral:rRNA from 1 species